rnacentral:ncRNA from 1 species
UAGAGACUGCCACCGGGUAGUUAAAAGAGGACGAUCAUUCCAGUAGGUCUUAGAAGGAAUGGUCUUCCUCUUUUUGUUUUC